rnacentral:tRNA from 1 species
GCAGNGGUCGCCCAGCUUGGUCAAAGGCGCUGGGAUGAGGUCCCAGUCCGUAACGGUUCGCAGGUUCGAAUCCUNCCCUCUGCACCA